rnacentral:rRNA from 1 species
AAUAGGGUUAAAAACAUUUGUUUUUAAAUUACUUCUUAGAAGGACUUUGCGUGUCUAACGCAAGGAAGUUUGAGGCAAUAACAGGUCUGUGAUGCCCUUAGAUGUUCUGGGCUGCACGCGCGCUACAAUGAUGCAUCCAACAAGUUUAUAACCUUGGCUGGUAAGCUUAGGUAAUCUUUUGAAUGUGCAUCGUGAUGGGGAUAGAUUAUUGUAAUUAUUAAUCUUUAACGAGGAAUGCCUAGUAAGCGCAAGUCAUCAGCUUGCGCUGAUUACGUCCCUGCCCUUUGUACACACCGCCCGUCG